UAUAUACUCCCUCCGUCCGAAAAUACUUGUCGGAGGAAUGGAUGUAUCUAGAUGUAUUUUAGUUCUAAAUACAUCAAUUUUUAUUCAUUUCUCCGACAAGUAUUUCCGGACGGAGGGAGUACUAA
rnacentral:pre_miRNA from 1 species